rfam:Oryza rufipogon genomic scaffold, chr08
AAAAAGGCGAACCCUGUGUUUCCGUGUCCAACUUUGACUGUCCGUCUUAUAUGAAAUUUUUUUAUAAUUCGUAUUUUUAUUGUUGUUAGAUGAUAAAACAUGAUUAAUACUUUGUGCGUGACUUUAUCUUUUUAAUUUUUUUCAUAAUUUUUUCAAAUAAGACGGGCGGUCAAACAUUAGGCACGGAAACCAGGGUUUGUCUUUUU